CGAUAUUCGACGAGUUUGAUCAUGGCUCAGAAUCAACGCUGGCGGCGUGCCUCAGACAUGCAAGUCGAACGAUUAAAGCUCUCUUCGGAGAGUGUAUAGAGUGGCGCACGGGUGAGUAACACGUAAGUAAUCUACCCUCGAGUGGGGAAUAACAACCGGAAACGGUUGCUAAUACCGCAUAAUGCAGCGGCACCGCAAGGUGACAGUUGUUAAAGAUUUAUCGCUUGAGGAGGAGCUUGCGGCAGAUUAGCUAGUUGGUAGGGUAACGGCUUACCAAGGCUACGAUCUGUAACCGGUCUAAGAGGACGGUCGGUCACACUGACACUGAAUAACGGGUCAGACUCCUACGGGAGGCAGCAGUCGGGAAUUUUGGGCAAUGGGCGAAAGCCUGACCCAGCAACGCCGCGUGAAGGAUGAAGUAUUUCGGUAUGUAAACUUCGAAAGAAUAGGAAGAAUUAAUGACGGUACUAUUUAUAAGGUCCGGCUAACUACGUG
rnacentral:rRNA from 1 species